GAUGAACGCUGGCUACAGGCUUAACACAUGCAAGUCGAGGGGAAACGGCAUUGAGUGCUUGCACUGAAUGGACGUCGACCGGCGCACGGGUGAGUAACGCGUAUCCAACCUUCCCGUUACUGCGGGAUAACCUGCCGAAAGGCAGACUAAUACCGCAUGUUCUUCGAUGACGGCAUCAGAUUCGAAGCAAAGACUCGUCGGUAACGGAGGGGGAUGCGUCUGAUUAGCUAGUUGGCGGGGCGACGGCCCACCAAGGCGACGAUCAGUAGGGGUUCUGAGAGGAAGGUCCCCCACAUUGGAACUGAGACACGGUCCAAACUCCUACGGGAGGCAGCAGUGAGGAAUAUUGGUCAAUGGGCGGAAGCCUGAACCAGCCAAGUAGCGUGCAGGAGGACGGCCCUACGGGUUGUAAACUGCUUUUAUGCGGGGAUAAAGUGAGGGACGCGUCCCUUUUUGCAGGUACCGCAUGAAUAAGGACCGCUAAU
rnacentral:rRNA from 1 species